UGACUUAAUCACAUGCCAUUCACGUGUCAUUUCUAGGCGGGGAGUUUUGUUUUCUUUUUUUGAAGUAAACAUAACCCACUUUCAUGUAACUUCUCAACCCUAGCCAUCUUCUCUCUCAUCUAUCCCUCCCUCUACUCAGAGAUAAGCAAAAAUUAUCAAAAAAAUUCCCAUCUCAAAUUGCUUAUCGCUGUAAAUUCAUUAGAUUUUGUGUUCAAAUAGUAGGUUCUUGUGCUUAUCUUACCCCAAAACAUUAUCGCAGAAGCCAAAAACGUCUCUUUUUUCUGAGUAUUUGCUUUACUAUUCAACAUCGAGCCAUAUGGCGAUUUUAGAGGAUCUGAGUGUUUCGGAACACUAGCACCACAUCAAACCAUCAUUUUCCUGAAGAAAGAAGACUUGGGAUGGAUUGAUUUGCAUGUUAUCAUCAUUAAUCAUGGCUGAUAUGUCUGGGUGAUUACUUUUCUAAUUUUGUGCUUAUAUUUCAUAAUUUUUGUAUUAUGAUUAUCUCUGAAUUGAUUAUCUAAACUUGUUUCCACAAAUUUCAAGAAAGUAGUGAUAGUAAUUGGAAUGGAAGAUUAUAUAUACACGAGAACAACGAAGUCGAGCGUGUUUUAAUUAUUAACUACAAUUGAUUUUCCAAUAAUUAGUGAUGAUUAUGAGUUUUCCAACCUUUAAACUCUAGAAUAAUGAGUUACUUGAGAAACAAAGUUGAUGUCUCAAUUAGUAUGUCAAUAAAUGGAACUACUGGCUUCUGGUUAAAAGAAAUGACGUCAGCUGAGACAGAAACAACAGGUUAGGGAUUUUUUUUAAACGAACAACCUUCCCUCAGCUUCACCACGCGCUUGAUGAUCCUCUUCCUCCCACCAUAUUCAAACACAAGUUUACAUUAAAGACUUUGAAAUUCCAACAAUUUUUUUUAUUGGCCCCUCAAGUAAAAAUUGAAUCCAUAUUGACAAGGCUGGUUUCUAUGGGUUAUAGCUGCCUCUUGGUUGCUGCUGAAAUUUAUGGUUGCUCGAUGGUGGUGGUGGUGGUGCUGCUAUUAACAAUAUCUUGCGUAUAAACCAUUAUAUUUAUUGUGUAUAAACCAUUAUAUAUAUUGUGUAUAAACCAUUGUAAUUUUUAAAAUUUUUUAUAACAAUAUCAACAUUUAUAAAUGAAAAUAUCCAAUAUUAUGCA